GGCUGCCUUGGCUCAGUAGGUAGAGCGUCGCCUUGGUAAGGCGGAGGUCGGCGGUUCAAGUCCGCUAGGCAGCUU
rnacentral:tRNA from 1 species